rnacentral:rRNA from 1 species
CGCAGAUACCAGGUGGCUGCAACUGUUUAUUAAAAACACAGCACUGUGCAAAAUCGUAAGAUGACGUAUACGGUGUGACGCCUGCCCGGUGCCGGAAGGUUAAUUGAUGGGGUUAGACUUCGGUCGAAGCUCUUGAUCGAAGCCCCGGUAAACGGCGGCCGUAACUAUAACGGUCCUAAGGUAGCGAAAUUCCUUGUCGGGUAAGUUCCGACCUGCACGAAUGGCGUAAUGAUGGCCACGCUGUCUCCACCCGAGACUCAGUGAAAUUGAAAUCGCUGUGAAGAUGCAGUGUACCCGCGGCUAGACGGAAAGACCCCGUGAACCUUUACUACAGCUUGGCACUGAACAUUGACCCUACAUGUGUAGGAUAGGUGGGAGGCUUUGAAGCACGUACGCCAGUAUGUGUGGAGCCGUCCUUGAAAUACCACCCUUGUAGUGUUGAUGUUCUAACGUCGACCCCUAAUCGGGGUUGCGGACAGUGCCUGGUGGGUAGUUUGACUGGGGCGGUCUCCUCCCAAAGAGUAACGGAGGAGCACGAAGGUGGGCUAAUCACGGUUGGACAUCGUGAGGUUAGUGCAAUGGCAUAAGCCCGCUUGACUGCGAGAAUGACAAUUCGAGCAGGUGCGAAAGCAGGUCAUAGUGAUCCGGUGGUUCUGAAUGGAAGGGCCAUCGCUCAACGGAUAAAAGGUACUCCGGGGAUAACAGGCUGAUACCGCCCAAGAGUUCAUAUCGACGGCGGUGUUUGGCACCUCGAUGUCGGCUCAUCACAUCCUGGGGCUGAAGUCGGUCCCAAGGGUAUGGCUGUUCGCCAUUUAAAGUGGUACGCGAGCUGGGUUUAGAACGUCGUGAGACAGUUCGGUCCCUAUCUGCCGUGGGCGUUGGAAGAUUGAAGGGGGCUGCUCCUAGUACGAGAGGACCGGAGUGGACGAACCUCUGGUGUUCGGGUUGUGUCGCCAGACGCAUUGCCCGGUAGCUAAGUUCGGAAUCGAUAACCGCUGAAAGCAUCUAAGCGGGAAGCGAGCCCUGAGAUGAGUCUUCCCUGAUACUUUAAGUAUCCUAAAGGGUUGUCGGAGACUACGACGUUGAUAGGUCAGGUGUGUAAGUGCUGUGAGGCAUUGAGCUAACUGAUACUAAUUGCCCGUGAGGCUUAACCAUACAACAC